UGCAAGUCGUACGAAGGCUUUUAGCCUUAGUGGCGGACGGGUGAGUAACACGUGAGAAUCUGCCCUUAGGAGGAGGAUAACAGCUGGAAACGGUUGCUAAUACUCCAUAUGCCGAGAGGUGAAAGGAUUUAUCUACCUAAGGAGGAGCUCGCGUCUGAUUAGCUAGUUGGUAGGGUAAUGGCCUACCAAGGCGACGAUCAGUAGCUGGUUUGAGAGGAUGAUCAGCCACACUGGGACUGAGACACGGCCCAGACUCCUACGGGAGGCAGCAGUAGGGAAUUUUCCGCAAUGGGCGAAAGCCUGACGGAGCAAUACCGCGUGAGGGAUGACGGCCUGUGGGUUGUAAACCUCUUUUCUCAAGGAAGAAGUUCUGACGGUACUUGAGGAAUAAGCAUCGGCUAACUCUGUGCCAGCAGCCGCGGUAAUACAGAGGAUGCAAGCGUUAUCCGGAAUCACUGGGCAUAAAGCGUCUGUAGGUGGUUUGGUAAGUCUGCCGUUAAAGACUGGGGCUCAACCCCAGAAAAGCAGUGGAAACUGCUAGACUUGAGUGUGGUAGAGGUAGAGGGAAUUCCUAGUGUAGCGGUGAAAUGCGUAGAUAUUAGGAAGAACACCAAUGGCGAAGGCACUCUACUGGACCAUAACUGACACUGAGAGACGACAGCUAGGGGAGCAAAUGGGAUUAGAUACCCCAGUAGUCCUA
rnacentral:rRNA from 1 species